GUGAGUCAUCGAAUCUUUGAACGCAUAUUGCGCUCUCUGGUAUUCCGGAGAGCAUGCUUGUUUCAGAACCGUUUACAUCCUCACAAGCCACACACUGGUUUUAACGAACUGGUGGGUGUUCGAGUGGAACUGAAAGAAUCGACCUUUUCGAAAAGUCGGUCUUUUGAAACGCAAUGUCGGCCUCAAAUUUCCCAAACGGGAAAGGUUUCAAUGGCUUUCCAAAGACAAGACGUGAUGAUGUGGGAAACCACUUUUUCUUUCAUCGUCGAAAUCUGGGCAAGUUUUAAAGUUGGCCUUUCA
rnacentral:misc_RNA from 1 species